rnacentral:rRNA from 1 species
AUACGGAGGGUGCGAGCGUUGUCCGGAAUCACUGGGCGUAAAGGGCGCGUAGGCGGUGACUUAAGCGUGUGGUGAAAGCCCGGGGCUCAACCCCGGGUCGGCCGUGCGAACUGGGUCACUCGAGCACUGUAGAGGCAGGUGGAAUUCCGGGUGUAGCGGUGGAAUGCGUAGAGAUCCGGAAGAACACCAGUGGCGAAGGCGGCCUGCUGGGCAGUAGCUGACGCUGAGGCGCGACAGCGUGGGGAGCAAACAGGAUUAGAAACCCUAGUAGUCC